UGAGGAAGGAAGCAUGGUAGUGUGCACGGAAAUCACCACAAUGUGGUCUGCAUGUCUGCCUGCAGUGACGCCUUCGGGCUUUGAUCUCGCGGGCCUGGAUUUGACCCACAUUU
rnacentral:snoRNA from 1 species